GUGCAUUUAGAGUACAUCUGCCUCUACAACUGUACGGAACAGUCUAGCUGUGUGACUAUAUUUGUCCUCUCUCUCUCUCUCUCUCUCUCUCUCUCUCUCUCUCUCUCUCUCUCUCUCUCUCUCUCUUGCAAGGGGACAGGAGCGUCAAGAGUUGGACGGCUGCCAAAAGAGGCCGGCCCGCCGUGCAGCUGAAACUUUUACAAGCCAAGCAGGAAGAGACACAGGGAGCGAUCAAAGAAGAAAAGGAGCAAAAGAAAAAGGCUGAGUGUGAGCAGACGUCCCUCUGUCACCCCUGUGUGCCGACAGACGCACUCACGCCAGUAGGAGGGGAUUGUGGGAAAGGGGUGUAGCACUCAGAGGGUGUGCUCUACUCCUCUCUUUUCCCUUCUUCCCGCCAUCACGGCCCUCUUCUCCUCCAGUCCUCCGGCCCAGCCCGCCGCUCAUGUUCAAGCUCCAGGAGAGUUACCUUUGCGGAUCUUUGGUGCUGAAGCAACGUGGAUGCUGUCCUUGGGGCUGAGGUAGUAGAUUGAAUAGUUGUGGGGUUGUGUAACCUCUUUAUGAGAUAACUAUACAAUCUACUGUCUUUCCCAAGGAGACAGCAAAGUCAGCUGCUCGCCGACUGUCGUCUCCAAUCAGGCAACGUGCUGUCCAAUCAAAACAGACGCUCGCAGCCAUCAACAUAAUCCGCUCUGACAAAGAAUUGUUGUGUGUUCUUUUUCCAACUCGAGAGCAGCUAAAUAAGGCGUCUUGUUCACCAAAUGGAUGUGAACGUGUGGCGUGUUUGUUUUGGGCUCUCUCAGGGUGAGGUAGUAGGUUGUAUAGUUUGGUGGGUGGGAUAGCAACCUGCUCAGGUGAUAACUAUACAGUCUAUUGCCUUCCCCGAGGAGCUCACUGAACACUCAUGAAUGUUCGACACGCUCUCACGGCCGGGUUUCACCUUUAAUCGUAGAAGCAGAAAUGUAGUAAUGUAUUUAAAAUGUGUACAUCUGAAUAAAGUCAUACUUUGUCUCAAAUUUGUCCAACAAUAAAUGACUGACAUCUUGAAA